rnacentral:rRNA from 1 species
AUUGAACGCUGGCGGCAGGCCUAACACAUGCAAGUCGAACGAGUGGCGGACGGGUGAGUAAUGUCUGGGAAACUGCCUGAUGGAGGGGGAUAACUACUGGAAACGGUAGCUAAUACCGCAUACCAUCGGAUGUGCCCAGAUGGGAUUGUCUUGUUGGUGGGGUAACGGCUCACCAAGGCGACGAUCCCUAGCUAGUCUGAGAGGGUGACCAGCCACACUGGAACUGAGACACGGUCCAGACUCCUACGGGAGGCAGCAGUGGGGAAUAUUGCACAAUGGGCGCAAGCCUGAUGCAGCCAUGCCGCGUGUAUGAAGAAGGCCCUAGGGUUGUAAAGUACUUUCAGUCGGGAGGCGUUACCGACAGAAGAAGCACCGGCUAACUCCGUGCCAGCCGCCGCGGUAAUUC